GACCUGAGCCGAAGUUGGAUGCUCAACCAACUGAGCCACCCAGUUCUGCAGUAGCCUUAACACUUGGCAGCUUCAGAACUACGGUAGCUAUGAAACCCAGCAGCCUUGCGGCCACUGAAGGGACACGUGGGGCUUGAAUCCCUCAGAACGUCCAAUCUCCAGACCGCGGUCACUUGUCUCACAGCUUUCCAGAAAAGCUCCGGCCCAGGGAGCUACCUGACCUGCCUCAGAGAUUGCUCCGUGGA